UACGAAGGGUGCAAGCGUUAAUCGGAAUUACUGGGCGUAAAGGGUGCGUAGGCGGUUGUUUAAGUCUGUCGUGAAAUCCCCGGGCUCAACCUGGGAAUGGCGAUGGAAACUGGGCAGCUAGAGUGUGUCAGAGGAUGGUGGAAUUCCCGGUGUAGCGGUGAAAUGCGUAGAGAUCGGGAGGAACAUCAGUGGCGAAGGCGGCCUUCUGGACCAAUACUGACGCUCAUGCACGAAAGCGUGGGGAGCAAACAGG
rnacentral:rRNA from 1 species